rnacentral:rRNA from 1 species
ACGGAAGGCAGCAGUGGGGAAUAUUGGGCAAUGGACGAAAGUCUGACCCAGCGACGCCGCGUGAAGGAAGACGGUCUUCGGAUUGUAAACUUCUUUUAUAUGGGACGAACAAAUGACGGUACCAUAUGAAUAAGCCACGGCUAACUACGUGCCAGCAGCCGCGGUAAUACGUAGGUGGCGAGCGUUAUCCGGAUUUACUGGGUGUAAAGGGUGUGUAGGCGGGAUUGCAAGUCAGAUGUGAAAACUAUGGGCUUAACUCAUAGCCUGCAUUUGAAACUGUAGUUCUUGAGGGUCGGAGAGGUAACUGGAACUCCUAGUGUAGCGGUGAAAUGCGCAGAUAUUAGGAAGAACACCGGUGGCGAAGGCGGGUUACUGGACGAUUACUGACGCUGAGACACGAAAGUGUGGGGAGCAAACAGGAUUAGAUACCCUGGUA